rnacentral:ncRNA from 1 species
AUCCGGGUUCCAAUCCCGGCGGGCAACUUCGCUCCAGCCCGAAGCACUGGGAGCGAUUCAGGAGGUAACAAAUGAAUUGAAGUACUACCAGAAAAGGGCCGUGCAAAGCGGUCCAGCGAACCAUGCAGGCCGUAACGCGC